rnacentral:misc_RNA from 1 species
GAAUUAUGUUUGUCUAGAUAUUUUUUUUUAACUAUAUUUAUAUUUGAAUUUUAGUCUAUUUAUUCUUGUUAUUGAGAUUUUUUUUUUAAUAGACUAAAAUUCAAAUAUAAAUAUAGUUAAAAAAAAAUAUCUAGACAAACAUAAUUCAAAAUUGUCCCUAUAGAACAUUAAAUUCUUGUGCACCAAAUGGAAAGCAACUAAAAAUUUCCCCAUCAUGAGAAAAUUCUUCAAGACAAAAUAAUUCAAGAAAAUUUUUACCCAACUGUUGGGCCUGCUGCAAGCCUCUUCCUAGCCUCCUCAAUGAUUGACAGCUUGAUACCCUUGCCCUUGGGGAGAGACACCCACGGUUUGUUUCCCUUUCCAAUAGUGAAAACAUUGCCUAAGCGAGUGGCAAACUCAUGACCAGUGGCAUCUUGAAUGUGAAU